CACAUGCCUGGGGUAUUUUUUUCAGGCUGUAGAGUCAGGGACUUUUAACUGUUCAGACAGCCAUGUAGAAUCCAGUCACCUUACAGAGAGACAGAGACAGAAGGGGAAAGUGAGAAAUCAUCCCCCAAGGGGGAUGACCAAGUUGCAAUCCCCUCUUCCAUUCUCUUCUCAGGACUUUGGGUACACCCACACACACAUUGGGUACACGCACAUGCACACACAUGUGCCUGGUGUGAUUUUCAAGCACCACGUCCAGAACUCUAAUCACACAGCUGGCCUUGUGGGAUCCAACGCCUUAACUUUCACGCCACCUGCUGCCCCACUAACAUCCUUUCUCAAAGCUCCCUGUCUCUGGGGCCAGAUGAUGGAGCAGUGGUAAAACACAAUGCUCUCUGAAGCUGACUCAUGAGAAAAGGUCCCAGGUUCAAGUCUGUAGACCUUCCUAAGUAUGCCAGGAAUGCAUGGACCUGAACUGAGGCUGGCUGAAGCUGGGAAUGGAUCGUAUCAUCAAGACACUGUAGGGGGUAUGCUAUAUGUCUCUCUUGAUCGCUCAUGGAAAUAAGUAAAGAAAAAAGCUCUACAUUCCUGAAAACGGGCUUGGAGAAAGCCAGCUCCGGAGGCAUCACAGCACAGACGAGACAAAGCAUAUGCCUACGCUUUAUCAAGAUGCCCUUUACAAUGUUGCUGUUGCAGCAAAAACUCAUCAAUGCCAAUAAAGGGGGUCCUAAAUCCCAUUCUGGGAAAUCAAAGGGAAAGAAAGUCUGUAUCAAAGCAACAUCACACAGGUUUCUAUCAUGUUACCUCCUGCAGAGGGUUUGUGAGCCUCAGGAGAUUCUUGAGGCCAGACAGUGGCAAGAAAAGGGUGACUGCUUAUUAGUGAAUAAAUUGUUAGGGUAUUCAAUAACUGCUUUGGCUACAAGAGCUGCAGGAAGGUAAGCAACAGCAUAAUCAUUAACACAAGUUACAGAGAGCCCAGCAGCUGCCAGCCACCAAAAUAUGAAUUGCUCCCUGAACACAGCAAGUUCUGUGUUACUGAAGACUCCACGCAUGGAGUAAGAGUGAGAAUACUAUGGAGGCAGAGGGCAAGACUACAUGCUUCGUCUAAGGCAGAACCAAGUCAACAACCAAGGUUCAGGAGGGGUCAUGAUUUUCAGAUUCAUUGCUGAUUUCUUGUCCCACCUCCCAGGCCCUGGAGAAGGGGGUGCAGAAGCAGGUAGACUAACACAUUACCUACCCUGAACAUGACAUGAAGCACAGAAGGCAAAUGUAUCUACAGUUAGAAGAGGUCUUGGCCCCUGACUAGCCAUGGGGAAAGUGAGCGAGGUAACACAUUUGCCAAGACUAUCACCUGCUGCCCACCCCACCCACAGCUUCCACAUUAAGGCCUUCCUUCCGGUGCCCCAGGCAGGUCACCUGAUUCAAAAGUGACAUCAGGCCCCCAACGGCCUUUCCCUCACUUCAGGGGAGGGCUGGGUUAACCCCUGCCAGUUCCCCCAGAGCAGCAUGGACCCUGCCAUUGAGCGCAUGCUGUUCAUGGGUAGGAAGUGGUGCGGAGCAGCCUCUGGGAUCCACAGGGCGGAAGCGGCAAGGUUGGACAUCCAAGACCCUGAAAUGACAGAAUCACUUGCUGAAGGCCACCAGUGACUCAGCGGUGGAGUUCAGAGUGCUCAAAUUCCUCUCUUGAAGGGCCUGCAGCCAUACCCUAUGAAUUACAAAGGAGGUCAUGUCCUUGCACCUGGACCCUCAAAAGGUGGACAAGGCCCCUUAUUGGAAGUCUUGACAGCUGGUUGUGUGGUGAUGAGGACGACUGGAUGCCACAUGGCCAACUGCAUUGUUGGAGUCCCCAACCCAGCAACUUGAAAGACACACCAGGUGCAUGUGUGUGCCCAAAAGAAGGGAGAGAAGGAGGAAAUGGGAUUACAACAUGACUAUGCCCCAUGGGGGGGGGGGUUGCUCUCUCACUUUCUCCCCACUACCUCCAUUGAGCACAUACCUCUGACAAAUCAAAGAAAGAAAUGUUAAAAAGAGUCUCAAGAGAGCUCUUUCCCCCUUUUGCCAUGUCAGAAGCCCCCUCUAUGACAAAUGGGGCCUCACCAAGCAACAGAUUUGCUGGUAACUUGGUCUUGAAC